rnacentral:rRNA from 1 species
ACCUAAUAGAUACCCAGGUAGUCCACGCCCUAAACGAUGCGAACUGGAUGUUGGGUACAUUACGGUACUCAGUGUCGAAAGCUAACGCGUUAAGUUCGCCGCCUGGGGAGUACGGUCGCAAGACUGAAACUCAAAGGAAUUGACGGGGGCCCGCACAAGCGGUGGAGUAUGUGGUUUAAUUCGAUGCAACGCGAAGAACCUUACCUGGCCUUGACAUCUGUCGAAUCCUGCAGAGAUGCGGGAGUGCCGCAAGGAACGACAAGACAGGUGCUGCAUGGCUGUCGUCAGCUCGUGUCGUGAGAUGUUGGGUUAAGUCCCGCAACGAGCGCAACCCUUGUCCCUAGUUGCCAACACGUAAUGGUGGGAACUCUAGGGAGACUGCCGGUGACAAACCGGAGGAA